rnacentral:rRNA from 1 species
UACGAAGGGGGCUAGCGUUGCUCGGAAUCACUGGGCGUAAAGCGCACGUAGGCGGAUCUUUAAGUCAGGGGUGAAAUCCUGGAGCUCAACUCCAGAACUGCCUUUGAUACUGGGGAUCUCGAGUCCGGAAGAGGUGAGUGGAACUCCGAGUGUAGAGGUGAAAUUCGUAGAUAUUCGGAAGAACACCAGUGGCGAAGGCGGCUCACUGGUCCGGUACUGACGCUGAGGCGCGAAAGCGUGGGGAGCGAACAGG